GCUCACUGGUCGAGUGAUUGUGCGCCGAAGAUGUCCGGGGCUAAACGUGACACCGAAGCGAUGGGUGCAUCUGAGAAGAUGUGCGGUAGAGGAGCAAUGUGCAGAGGCAGAAGCCGUAUCGAGAGGCACGGUGGACACUGCACAAGAGAGAAUGCCGGUAUGAGUAGCGAGAGGCAUGCGAGAAACAUGCCCGUCGAAAGCCCAAGGUUUCCUGGGGAAGGUUCAUCCGCCCAGGGUAAGUCGGGGCCUAAGCCGAGGACGGAAGUCGUAGGCGAUGGACAGCAGGUGUAGAUUCCUGCACUACCGAUGGAAUGAAGCAGUGACACAGAAGGAUAACUCGAGCAGGGUGAUGGUCAACCCUGUGCAAGCAUCAAGGUUGGGUUGUAGUGAAGUACGCAAUCCUAUAAGCUGAGGUGUGAUGCGGACCGAAAUUUCAGUAGGGAAGCGAGUGAGUUCACGCUGGCGAGAAAAGCUGCUAGUACAUCCAAAGGUACCCGUACCGGAAACCGACGCAGGUGGGCGAGGAGAGAAUCCUGAGACGAACGGGAGAACCCUUGUUAAGGAACUCGGCAAAAUGACCCCGUAACUUCGGGAUAAGGGGUGCCUGCGAGAGCAGGCCGCAGAGAAUAGUCACAAGCGACUGUUUAGCAAAAACACAGGUAUCUGCGAAAGCGAGAGCUGACGUAUAGGUGGUGACACCUGCCCGGUGCUGGAAGGUUAAGGGAACAUGUUAGAGCAAUCGAAGCAUCGAACCGAAGCCCCAGUAAACGGCGGCCGUAACUAUAACGGUCCUAAGGUAGCGAAAUUCCUUGUCGGGUAAGUUCCGACCCGCACGAAUGGUGUAACGACUUGUGAGCUGUCUCAACAGGGGGCCCGGUGAAAUUGAAGUAUGGGUGAAGAUGCCCAUUACCCGCGACUGGACGGAAAGACCCCGUAGAGCUUUACUGCAGCCUGAUAUUGAGUUUCGGUAACUGAUGCACAGGAUAGGUGGGAGUCUGAGAGACAUGGGUUUCGGCUCGUGUGGAGACGAUGUUGGGAUACCACUCUUCGGUUACUGAAAUUCUAACAUAGCUCUGUGAAACCAGAGGAUGGACAGUGUCAGGUGGACAGUUUGACUGGGGCGGUCGCCUCCGAAA
rnacentral:rRNA from 1 species